GUGAAUAUUCUCCUGGAUCUUUUUACUGCAGGCAUUCAGGACUGGAAUGGAACAGUAAUUCAUUGCAACAAGACCCAAAAACACACGGUGAGCAUUCGGGUAAGUCAAGUGGUCUAUCUCUCUCAAAACUGCCAUCUCUAAUUUCUUUUUCAGAAAGACUGGAGCAUCCUUUCCCAUACAUUUCAUCAAGUUUUGCAGUAUAAAGAUAUCUCUGAUGCUUGGGAGUCGCUGCUCUACUAGUAAUUGUAAUCCAGCUUGAAGUGCGCUCACAUUCUUGUCUUCAUCCAUCCCAGCUAACGUAGUUGCCAAAACUGACAUACAGCGGUUAUCCAGUUGAUUGAGCUUUUC
rnacentral:lncRNA from 1 species